rnacentral:rRNA from 1 species
UUAAGUUAUUAAGGGCGCACGGUGGAUGCCUUGGCACUAGAAGCCGAUGAAGGACGUUACUAACGACGAUAUGCUUUGGGGAGCUGUAAGUAAGCUUUGAUCCAGAGAUUUCCGAAUGGGGAAACCCAGCAUGAGUUAUGUCAUGUUAUCGAUAUGUGAAUACAUAGCAUAUCAGAAGGCACACCCGGAGAACUGAAACAUCUUAGUACCCGGAGGAAGAGAAAGAAAAUUCGAUUCCCUUAGUAGCGGCGAGCGAAACGGGAAGAGCCCAAACCAACAAGCUUGCUUGUUGGGGUUGUAGGACACUCUAUACGGAGUUACAAAGGACGACAUUAGACGAAUCAUCUGGAAAGAUGAAUCAAAGAAGGUAAUAAUCCUGUAGUCGAAAAUGUUGUCUCUCUUGAGUGGAUCCUGAGUACGACGGAGCACGUGAAAUUCCGUCGGAAUCUGGGAGGACCAUCUCCUAAGGCUAAAUACUCUCUAGUGACCGAUAGUGAACCAGUACCGUGAGGGAAAGGUGAAAAGCACCCCGGAAGGGGAGUGAAAUAGAACCUGAAACCGUGUGCUUACAAGUAGUCAGAGCCCGUUAAUGGGUGAUGGCGUGCCUUUUGUAGAAUGAACCGGCGAGUUACGAUUUGAUGCAAGGUUAAGCAGUAAAUGUGGAGCCGUAGCGAAAGCGAGUCUGAAUAGGGCGUUUAGUAUUUGGUCGUAGACCCGAAACCAGGUGAUCUACCCUUGGUCAGGUUGAAGUUCAGGUAACACUGAAAUGGAGGACCGAACCGACUUACGUUGAAAAGUGAGCGGAUGAACUGAGGGUAGCGGAGAAAUUCCAAUCGAACCUGGAGAUAGCUGGUUCUCUCCGAAAUAGCUUUAGGGCUAGCCUCAAGUGAUGAUUAUUGGAGGUAGAGCACUGUUUGGACGAGGGGCCCCUCUCGGGUUACCGAAUUCAGACAAACUCCGAAUGCCAAUUAAUUUAACUUGGGAGUCAGAACAUGGGUGAUAAGGUCCGUGUUCGAAAGGGAAACAGCCCAGACCACCAGCUAAGGUCCCAAAAUAUAUGUUAAGUGGAAAAGGAUGUGGCGUUGCCCAGACAACUAGGAUGUUGGCUUAGAAGCAGCCAUCAUUUAAAGAGUGCGUAAUAGCUCACUAGUCGAGUGACACUGCGCCGAAAAUGUACCGGGGCUAAACAUAUUACCGAAGCUGUGGAUUGUCCUUUGGACAAUGGUAGGAGAGCGUUCUAAGGGCGUUGAAGCAUGAUCGUAAGGACAUGUGGAGCGCUUAGAAGUGAGAAUGCCGGUGUGAGUAGCGAAAGACGGGUGAGAAUCCCGUCCACCGAUUGACUAAGGUUUCCAGAGGAAGGCUCGUCCGCUCUGGGUUAGUCGGGUCCUAAGCUGAGGCCGACAGGCGUAGGCGAUGGAUAACAGGUUGAUAUUCCUGUACCACCUAUAAUCGUUUUAAUCGAUGGGGGGACGCAGUAGGAUAGGCGAAGCGUGCGAUUGGAUUGCACGUCUAAGCAGUAAGGCUGAGUAUUAGGCAAAUCCGGUACUCGUUAAGGCUGAGCUGUGAUGGGGAGAAGACAUUGUGUCUUCGAGUCGUUGAUUUCACACUGCCGAGAAAAGCCUCUAGAUAGAAAAUAGGUGCCCGUACCGCAAACCGACACAGGUAGUCAAGAUGAGAAUUCUAAGGUGAGCGAGCGAACUCUCGUUAAGGAACUCGGCAAAAUGACCCCGUAACUUCGGGAGAAGGGGUGCUCUUUAGGGUUAACGCCCAGAAGAGCCGCAGUGAAUAGGCCCAAGCGACUGUUUAUCAAAAACACAGGUCUCUGCUAAACCGUAAGGUGAUGUAUAGGGGCUGACGCCUGCCCGGUGCUGGAAGGUUAAGAGAGUGGUUAGCUUCUGCGAAGCUACGAAUCGAAGCCCCAGUAAACGGCGGCCGUAACUAUAACGGUCCUAAGGUAGCGAAAUUCCUUGUCGGGUAAGUUCCGACCCGCACGAAAGGCGUAACGAUUUGGGCACUGUCUCAACGAGAGACUCGGUGAAAUCAUAGUACUGUGAAGAUGCAGGUUACCCGCGACAGGACGGAAAGACCCCGUGGAGCUUUACUGUAGCCUGAUAUUGAAAUUCGGCACAGCUUGUACAGGAUAGUAGGAGCCUUUGAAACGUGAGCGCUAGCUUACGUGGAGGCGCUGGUGGGAUACUACCCUAGCUGUGUUGGCUUUCUAACCCGCACCACUUAUCGUGGUGGGAGACAGUGUCAGGCGGGCAGUUUGACUGGGGCGGUCGCCUCCUAAAAGGUAACGGAGGCGCUCAAAGGUUCCCUCAGAAUGGUUGGAAAUCAUUCAUAGAGUGUAAAGGCAUAAGGGAGCUUGACUGCGAGACCUACAAGUCGAGCAGGGUCGAAAGACGGACUUAGUGAUCCGGUGGUUCCGCAUGGAAGGGCCAUCGCUCAACGGAUAAAAGCUACCCCGGGGAUAACAGGCUUAUCUCCCCAAGAGUUCACAUCGACGGGGAGGUUUGGCACCUCGAUGUCGGCUCAUCGCAUCCUGGGGCUGUAGUCGUCCCAAGGGUUGGGCUGUUCGCCCAUUAAAGCGGUACGCGAGCUGGGUUCAGAACGUCGUGAGACAGUUCGGUCCCUAUCCGUCGUGGGCGUAGGAAAUUUGAGAGGAGCUGUCCUUAGUACGAGAGGACCGGGAUGGACAUACCUCUGGUGUACCAGUUGUCGUGCCAACGGCAUAGCUGGGUAGCUAUGUGUGGACGGGAUAAGUGCUGAAAGCAUCUAAGCAUGAAGCCCCCCUCAAGAUGAGAUUUCCCAACUUCGGUUAUAAGAUCCCUCAAAGAUGAUGAGGUUAAUAGGUUCGAGGUGGAAGCAUGGUGACAUGUGGAGCUGACGAAUACUAAUCGAUCGAAGACUUAAUCAA